GAUGAAGAACGUAGCGAAAUGCGAUACUUGGUGUGAAUUGCAGAAUCCCGUGAACCAUCGAGUCUUUGAACGCAAGUUGCGCCUCAAGCCAUUAGGUUGAGGGCACGUCUGCCUGGACGUCACAUAUCGUUGCCUGAUGCCAGUUUCCUCGUGAUGGGUGACUGUGCAGGGCGAAUGAUGGCUUCCCGUGAGCAUUGUUGCCUCAUGGUUGGUUGAAAAUUGAGUCCUUGGUAGGGAGCGCCGUGAUAGAUGGUGGUUGAGUGACGAACGAGACCCAAUCAUGUGAGACCCCUACCGAAUUUGGCCUUCAUGACCCACAUGCGUCUUUGGAACGCUCAUGACGAGACCUCAGGUCAGGCGGGGCUACCCGCUGAGUUUAAGCAUAUCAAUAAGCGGAGGA
rnacentral:misc_RNA from 1 species